GACGAACGCUGGCGGCGUGCUUAACACAUGCAAGUCGAACGAUGAAGCCGGAGCUUGCUCUGGUGAAUUAGUGGCGAACGGGUGAGUAACACGUGAGUAACCUGCCCUUGACUCUGGGAUAACUGCGGGAAACUGUAGCUAAUACCGGAUACGACCCUCGGAGGCAUCUCCUGGGGGUGGAAAGAAUUUCGGUCAAGGAUGGACUCGCGGCCUAUCAGCUAGUUGGUGAGGUAAAGGCUCACCAAGGCGACGACGGGUAACCGGCCUGAGAGGGGGACCGGCCACACUGGGACUGAGACACGGCCCAGACUCCUACGGGAGGCAGCAGUGGGGAAUAUUGCACAAUGGGCGCAAGCCUGAUGCAGCAGCGCCGCGUGAGUGAUGACGGCCUUCGGGUUGUAAACCUCUUUUAGCAGGGAAGAAGCGAAAGUGACGGUACCUGCAGAAAAAGCACCGGCUAACUACGUGCCAGCCGCCGCCGUAA
rnacentral:rRNA from 1 species